UAAAUUUUUUUUUUUUUUUUUUUUUUUUUUUUUUUUUUUUUUUUUUUUUUGCUGCCGUAGAAAAUGGAAAUGAGAUUUUAAGGGGGCAAAAGUUGAUGUUCUUUUUGUUUAAAAAAUUUUGAUGUGAAAAAAAUUAUUUAGUGUGAAUUUAUUAGGAUUAAAGAAUGGAAAACUACUUGUACUCCUCACUCAAAAUUUCUCACACAUAACUAAGGCACUAAGAGCCGCAAAACUUAGUCCAAUUUUUACUCAUGUUCCGCAUUCGUCGAAUAGUCAAAAAAGAGUCAAAUGAUUGGCUCCUAAAAAUAAUAUUAUUUUUUUCUCGUCAGAUCAUCCACUAACAGGUUACGAUCCUGGUUAGAUCCCUCGCAACUGCCCCUUGGCGGUGGUCCCUA
rnacentral:lncRNA from 1 species